GCUGCAACAGUUUACCGAAAUAGAAUCAGUCCAGACCCUAUAUUCUUGACAGCAGAAUCUUCCUCAACUGGUGGAUUUUAUGCCAUCAAAAGAAGAGGUCAGGUUUUGCAUGCCACAGUUAAUGAUGCAACUGUUGUGCCUUUUGUCAGCGGUCAAUUAAACAACCUUGAGCUCGCGGUAAAUCUUGCCAAGAGGGCUAAUCUUCCUCGUGCUGAGAAUUUGGUUGUCCAAAGAUUUCAGGAAUUGUUUGCACAGACAAAAUACAAGGAAGCAGCAGAGCUGGCUGCGGAAUCUCCCCAGGGCUUGCUGAGGACGCCUGAGACCGUAGCGAAAUUUCAGG